rnacentral:rRNA from 1 species
UGGCGCACGGGUGCGUAACGCGUGAGCAACCUGCCCAUAUCAGGGGGAUAGCCCGGAGAAAUCCGGAUUAACACCGCAUGACACUGCUUUCCGGCAUCGGGAGGCAGUCAAAUAUUCAUAGGAUAUGGAUGGGCUCGCGUGACAUUAGCUAGUUGGUGGGGUAACGGCCCACCAAGGCGACGAUGUCUAGGGGCUCUGAGAGGAGAAUCCCCCACACUGGUACUGAGACACGGACCAGACUCCUACGGGAGGCAGCAGUAAGGAAUAUUGGUCAAUGGGGGCAACCCUGAACCAGCCAUGCCGCGUGCAGGACGACUGCCCUAUGGGUUGUAAACUGCUUUUGUUAGGGAAUAAACCCCGCUACGUGUAGCGGGCUGAAUGUACCUAAAGAAUAAGGAUCGGCUAACUCCGUGCCAGCAGCCGCGGUAAUACGGAGGAUCCGAGCGUUAUCCGGAUUUAUUGGGUUUAAAGGGUGCGUAGGCGGCACUUUAAGUCAGGGGUGAAAGACGGCAGCUCAACUGUCGCAGUGCCCUUGAUACUGAAGUGCUUGAAUGCGGUUGAAGACGGCGGAAUGAGACAAGUAGCGGUGAAAUGCAUAGAUAUGUCUCAGAACACCGAUUGCGAAGGCAGCUGUCUAAGCCGUUAUUGAC